UUUUAGCCCAGAUAGCAGCGGCAUCCUUUUAUGGGUGGCUGAGGUCCUCGAAGUCACCCGUAAAAGAUAUAGCGGAUAGCUGGAAAAUGC
rnacentral:sRNA from 1 species